rnacentral:rRNA from 1 species
CCUACGGGAGGCAGCAGUGGGGAAUAUUGGACAAUGGGCGCAAGCCUGAUCCAGCGAUGCCACGUGUGCGAAGAAGGCCUUAGGGUUGUAAAGCACUUUAGUGAGGGAGGAAGUUAGUCUGGUUAAUACCUGGAUUGAUUGACAGUACCUCAAGAAUAAGCACCGGCAAACUCUGUGCCAGCAGCCGCGGUAAUACAGAGGGUGCAAGCGUUAAUCGGAAUUAUUGGGCGUAAAGGGCUUGUAGGCGGUUAGAUAAGUUAGAUGUGAAAACCCCUGGGCUCAACCUGGGGCUGGCAUUUAAUACUGUUUAAGCUAGAGUAUAGGAGAGGAGAAGGGAAUUUCUGGUGUAGCGGUGAAAUGCGUAGAUAUCAGAAGGAACAUCAGUGGCGAAGGCGCUUCUCUGGCCUAAUACUGACGCUGAGGAGCGAAGGCGUGGGGAUCAAACAGGAUUAGAUACCCUGGUAGUCCACGCGGUAAACGAUGAAUACUAGCCGCGUGGGUACGUAAGACUAAGGUGGCGCGAGCGACGACGAGUAAGUAGUUCCGUCCGUGGUAGGUUACGGCCGGUCCGAACGGUUAAACGUUAACGAAGAGUUAGUAGGACGGCGNGAGAGCGACGACGGACGACGACGGAGGGAGGAGG